CGGGGUGGAGUAAUGUCUGGGAAACGGCCUGAUGGAGGGGGAUAACUACUGGAAACGGUAGCUAAUACCGCAUAAUGUCUGCGGACCCGAAACGGGGGACCGUCCGGCCCGUCCGCGCCAUCAGAUGAACCCAUAUGGGAUUAGCUAGUAGGUAAGGUAACGGCUUACCUAGGCGACGAUCCCUAGCUGGUCUGAGAGGAUGAUCAGCCACACUGGGACUGAGACACGGCCCAG
rnacentral:rRNA from 1 species